rnacentral:rRNA from 1 species
AAACGACUCUCGGCAACGGAUAUCCCGGCUCUCGCAUCGAUGAAGAACGUAGCGAAAUGCGAUACUUGGGGUGAAUUGCAGAAUCCCGUGAACCAUCGAGUUUUUGAACGCAAGUUGCGCCCGAUGCCAUUAGGCUGAGGGCACGUCUGCCUGGGUGUCACGU